GAUCAUGGCUCAGGAUGAACGCUAGCUACAGGCUUAACACAUGCAAGUCGAGGGGAAACGACUGCUAAUACCGAAUACGCUUGGGAGACCGCAUGAUCUUCCAAGGAAAGGGUGGCCUCUACCUGUAAGCUAUCGCCUGAAGAGGGGUUUGCGUCUGAUUAGGCAGUUGGUGAGGUAACGGCCCACCAAACCUACGAUCAGUAGCCGACCUGAGAGGGCGACCGGCCACAUUGGG
rnacentral:rRNA from 1 species